GUUAAAUAUACUUUUCAUGGAUUGGAAGAAUGGAACAUUAUCGCUGUUCCACUUAUCGUUGAUGGAAGAAUGAUAGGUUCUAUUUCCAUGUUUUUCAC
rnacentral:tRNA from 1 species